AUGGAGUUACAGACUCAUGUCCUCAUAUUUCUGUUCUUCUCAGUAUCUGGUGCCAAUGGGAACAUUGUAAUGACCCAGUCUCCCAAGUCAUUACCUGUGUCAGUAGAAGACAAAGCCACCAUGAGUUGCAAGUCCAGUCAGAAUGUGGGUACCAGUAUAGCAUGGUAUCAACAGAAACCAGGGCAGGCUCCUACAUUACUGAUCUACUCAGCAUCCAUUCGGUAUACUGGGGUCCCUGAUCAGUUCACAGGGAGUGGGUCUGGGACAGAUUUCACUCUCACCAUCAGCAGUGUCCAGGCUUAA